UGGCUCAGGAUGAACGCUAGCGACAGGCCUAACACAUGCAAGUCGAGGGGCAUCGGGGCGAGGAGCAAUCCUUGCCGCCGGCGACCGGCGCACGGGUGAGUAACGCGUAUGCGACCUGCCCGUUGCAGGGGGAUAAUCGGGAGAAAUCCCGUCUAAUACCGCGUAAUGCCGCGGGGCUGCAUGGCCCUGCGGCCAAAGGAAGCGAUUCCGGCAACGGAUGGGCAUGCGUGACAUUAGCUAGUUGGCGGGGCAACGGCCCACCAAGGCGACGAUGUCUAGGGGUUCUGAGAGGAAGGUCCCCCACACUGGUACUGAAACACGGACCAGACUCCUACGGGAGGCAGCAGUGAGGAAUAUUGGUCAAUGGGCGCGAGCCUGAACCAGCCAAGUCGCGUGAGGGAUGACGGCCCUACGGGUUGUAAACCUCUUUUGUCGGGGAGCAAAUUCCGCCACGUGUGGCGGAGUCGAGAGUACCCGAAGAAAAAGCAUCGGCUAACUCCGUGCCAGCAGCCGCGGUAAUACGGAGGAUGCGAGCGUUAUCCGGAUUUAUUGGGUUUAAAGGGUGCGUAGGCGGACUGUCAAGUCAGCGGUAAAAUACGGGGGCUCAACCUCCGCCCGCCGUUGAAACUGACGGUCUUGAGUGGGCGAGAAGUAUGCGGAAUGCGUGGUGUAGCGGUGAAAUGCAUAGAUAUCACGCAGAACUCCGAUUGCGAAGGCAGCAUACCGGCGCCCAACUGACGCUGAAGCACGAAAGCGUGGGUAUCGAACAGGAUUAGAUACCCUGGUAGUCCACGCAGUAAACGAUGAAUACUAGCUGUCCGGGGCGAAUGAGCCCUGGGUGCACAGCGAAAGCGUUAAGUAUUCCACCUGGGGAGUACGCCGGCAACGGUGAAACUCAAAGGAAUUGACGGGGGCCCGCACAAGCGGAGGAACAUGUGGUUUAAUUCGAUGAUACGCGAGGAACCUUACCCGGGCUCAAACGACACAGGAACGUACCUGAAAGGGUUCGGCUCUACGGAGCCUGUGUCGAGGUGCUGCAUGGUUGUCGUCAGCUCGUGCCGUGAGGUGUCGGCUUAAGUGCCAUAACGAGCGCAACCCCCAUCGACAGUUGCUAACAGGUCAGGCUGAGGACUCUGUCGAGACUGCCGGCGCAAGCUGCGAGGAAGGCGGGGAUGACGUCAAAUCAGCACGGCCCUUACGUCCGGGGCGACACACGUGUUACAAUGGCAGGUACAGCGGGAAGCCACCUGGCGACAGGGAGCGGAACCCGAAAGCCUGUCUCAGUUCGGAUUGGAGUCUGUAACCCGACUCCAUGAAGCUGGAUUCGCUAGUAAUCGCGCAUCAGCCACGGCGCGGUGAAUACGUUCCCGGGCCUUGUACACACCGCCCGUCAAGCCAUGGAGGCCGGGGGUGCCUGAAGUGUGCUGCCGCGAGGAGCGCCCUAGGGUAAAACUCGGUGACUGGGGCUAAGUCGUAACAAGGU
rnacentral:rRNA from 1 species